rnacentral:lncRNA from 1 species
GGGAGGAGGGGGUGUAAGCCAUUGGUUCCAACGAUGGGGACUGGUCGGCGGUGGCAAGUAGACCUCAUCGGAGCUGGACGGCGACAGCGCAGCACAGAAAAGACGUCAGAGAGAAGAGGGGAAGAGGAAAAAGAAAAGAGAGAAGCCCACGAAAAUGGUGUGUGUAGGCAUCGGAGGAAAGCGGGAGGCCAGGAUGGGUGCCGACGAUCGGAGAGCAAGGGGUGCGGAGGACCACGGGCGAGUGCAAGGGGGGUCUGGGAGCAAGGGGCAUGGAGGACCACCGAUGGGGGUCGGGGAGGAGGGGGCGGUGGUCGGAGGAAGCGAGAGACAUCGAAGGAAAGCAAGAGGCAAUGAUGGGUGUCGAUAGUCGGGGAGCGAGGCACGCAGAGGACCAUGGGUGGGUGUGAUGGGGGGGGUGGAUAGGGUUAGGGCAUGGGGGAGAAGGAGAGGCAAUUAAGCAAGCCUAUCGAUACUUUUUAGCACCGUUAAUUGAUGACACUAAAAAGCGUCAGAAAAUUUAAAAUCUAACGAUGCUUUUCCUAAAAGCAUUAGCAUUGACCUUGGUUAUACUUUAUGAUGCUUUAAAGCAUCGUUAAAUCUCCAAUGCUUUCAAAAAAUGUUGGCAGGUCGCAACUUUACAAUGUUUUAAAACAUCGUUAAAUCUUUGAUACUUUCAAAACGUGUCAACAAGUUCGCACGACUUGCCGAUGUUUAUCAAAAGCAUCGGUAAAUAACUAUUAGGAAUUUACUAUUUUACUAUAGUGCUUAUUCUUAUUCCUACUCCAUAAUUUAGCCAUCCCCCAACUAAACAUGCCCUAAAUUUCAUGGUAUUAGAAAUAAUACUUCCAUAUCCAAGUAUAUUAAGCAUGGCAUAACAAUUAGACCUCUCUCUCCUUAUUCUAUGAGGAGAAAAAAGAUAUUCGCAAGUUUUCUCCCCUACAAUAUGAGUCUCUGUUCUUAUCGACCUUGAGUUCACCUCCCCCUUCGCUCUCCCACCCUCCUCUUUCUCUAUUUUCUUUCACUCCCCCCCCCCCCAAUAUAAUAUUCCCAGCCCAUUAAAUCUAGUGAGAUUUCACAAAAUUAUCCAAACAGAUCAUUAAAAUCCUAAAAGCUCAUUUCAAAUCAUGACAUUUCAAAGCCCCUUAAUGAUAACAACCUAUACAUGCAUGUAUUGGUCUUCUAGCAUUUAAUAGAAAGAUUUAUCUUAUAGAACUUGUUUGGUUUAUGAAAAGUGUUGCGGCUCGUUUUGGCUAAGUCGAAAGGCUGACGUUUGGUCCUUAUGCAGGAAGUACUGAAGUGACCUGCAAAAAAAGUUUGGACAGAAAAUUUUCGCUCUUGCGAGGACCCUCCGACAACAUGCCAGAUUCGAGACAUUCAGGAUACUACUGUAAUAUAAAAAAAAUUUACUUGAUUAUAAUAUUUUUCUAAAAGUUGAUGCCUAGAUAUCAUAAUAUAAUAUCUAGCAAAGUGGUUCAUGCAUAUUUGGUUAACCAUAGAAAAGCGACAUACAAAAUAUACUUUUCAAAAUAACUUAUAUUUGGUUGAGUACAUAUUUUAUUAGAAAAAUUAUAUAAAAUAUCCAUUAUGCCCUAAUAAAGUUAUAUAAAAUAUCUAUAAACAUCACAUGUAUAAUUUUAAAUAGCUAUUUUUAAAUAUUUUAAAAUUUAAAUGAUUUAAAUAUAUUUUUAAAUAUUUAAAAAAUAUAAAUUUUAAUAGUUAGAUAACUUUUUUAUAUUAUGAUAAAUUUUAACGGCUUAUUUUUAGUAGUUUGGCAUUAACUAUUAAAAUAGCUAUUAAAAAAUCAUGAUGGCUUAAGGAUAUUGUGGUGAAAAAAGUUACCUCAUUUUUUAUGAAAGACAUAAUUUUUUUCAUGUCACAUAGAUUUUUCUUUUGAAUGAAACAUGAAAUAUUUACUCUCAUCAUGAGGUAUUUUUUAAUUUUACUUUGACCAUAUUUUUCCUCUCUUCGACUUAACGAGUCCAUAACCUCCUCGUGGAUGCCACAUCCACAUCCUCCCGCUCGAGUAAUUCAAACUAACGUGUCCAACCGGUCAAUCUUCUUAUCCACAGAGACGGCUCCCUUGUUUAAUCACCGUCCACUCUUGACUCCGAAUAUAACGUUUCCCCAUGACGCAUCUCCCUCCAACGGAAUACCUGCCUUCACGUCUAACAUUAUUUUCUAAACCUUUGGACAGAUCGGUCGGGUUGGACCUUUCGGGAUCACCGACUUCCAUCUCCCUAAAUAUUCGCCCUCCCAAUGAUCAUGCCGACCCCUCUCAUCUGCUUGCAUAAAAAAGAUUCCCUUCUAUUUUCUUGUCUUGAGCCCUUUUCCGACCACAGAAUCCUAAAGAGGUCAAUUCUGGAGUCGUCCAUCAUUACGCUCGGGGACCCAAGAACAAGAAGCCAACCAGGUCCAACCCACUGUUGAUUCCACAAAAUCCACGCUGUUCACGUCCACUUUGUCAAAAUAUCUAGACGGACCGGGUCCAGUCUUCUUUCUUUAUUUUUUUGUUUUCUUUAUUAUUAUUAUUUUUUUUUGAAAGUUCUCUUUUCUUCUUGGUUGUUAAUUGUUUGGAAGUUUCCGUUCGGAUGCUCCAAGCGGCCAAACAAAAAAAAACGAAAAGGAAAAAGCCGCCGCGCCGCUUGUUUUAUCCGUCUCUCCCGGCUUCGGCUUCUCCGCGAGGCGCCCUUCCGCGAUCGUUCUCAGCGUCAACGCCACGACCAUGCACCAAGUGCAAUUGGACCGCGCAAAUCCCACGGUGGAUAACACGCCACGCGAUCCUUGUAUUUCACCGUUUUUCGAUUGCGCGCUUUCCACCGUGCAUAUGCUCCCGGUUCACUUGCACCUGGUGCAUGUAAUAAUUUCUCCACGACUGGGGCGGAAGCGAAGAAAACCAAACCCCGAUUAAAAUAAUAAUAUAAUAAAUAUUUCUUUUUUUUUGGUAAGAAUAAUAAAUAUUUCUCAGUGCGAACAAAUAUAAACGGAACUUAAAGUCUUUGGACCUCGAGGUUCCUGGGUAUAACUUUCUUUCUUUCUUUUUUUUCUCUCCCCUUCGUUGGAUUCGUGGGUGGAGACUGCGAGGGAUGGUGGGGUGAAUGGCUGGAAGGAUGAGCGCGAGGUGGAGGUGGGAGCAUUGCCUCCGUUCGACCACUCUCGGCUUCUUCUUCUCCGCCGCCGUCCUCCUGGGAUCGGUCGCCACCCUCUUCGCCUGGCUCACCUUCUCUCCCUUUCCAAGACCCAUCGCCUCGGUCUCCUCCUCCUCCGCCGCCCUCGGCUGCCGCCCUGACGGCGAGGGGUCCUGGUCCAUCGGUAUCUUCUAUGGCGACUCCCCCUUCUCUCUCAAAGCCAUCGAAUCUGUGAGAAUCUUCUCCUUUUUCUUUUCUCUAUUCGUUUUCAAAGCUUUUUUUUUUAGCUUGGUAUGGAUCCUGAUUGGGAUUUGGGUGAUGAGGACAGAGGAAUGUAUGGAGGAACGAAAGCGCAGCGUGGCCGGUGGCGAAUCCUGUGUUUACGUGCGCGUCGGCUUCGGAUGCUGGAUUUCUGAGCAAUUUUGUCGCCGAUCCCUUCCUCUAUAUCCAGGUGAGUGAUAGAUUUCGCAGUGGAAGUAUCGAGCUUCUUGUGUUUGCUUGAUUGUUUUCUGGAAGACUCGAGAUCCUUGUUCUUAAGCACGUAUGAGUAAGUUUGCUUUAUUGUUAAUUGGUGGCGGGAUCUUGGGUUCAUAUGCUGCUGUGAAGUUGUAGGUAGCGAUUUUAAUGGUUUAAUGGCUGAGAAGGAGCGGCGCUUCUUCUUGCAUGAACUUGUGUGCGCUGGAUAGGUGAAAAUAGUGAGAUAAAAAUUUCUUUGUUUAUUAAGGACUUAUUAUUUAAAUUUUUUAUGCAGGAGUUUAGGCAAUUCACUUUUAGUAGAAUCUUGAGUUUUUUUUCUUCAAAAAAAAAAAAAUCUUUUAGAGCUCGGAGUUGCCCUGUAGUAUGGAAUUCAACUAUAAGUGCGUUAUUUGAUAUUAGAUUCUCGUCAUGGCAGCGAGAAAAGGUUAUUUCAUAGCAUUCAUAGUGGAGGAUAUUGAAUUUAGUUACAUUGACCGUAGAGUUUCUGGUUGCGGUGAGGAGAAAUUUUUUUCACUAUCCUUAAAAUAUUAGUUGCAGCAGAAAGCCAAUUUUUUUUGAGGGUAUCAUGUGUUUGUUCUCUUGUCUAACUGAGCUUAGGGUCGUUCAGGUCCUCUGUCGUGUGAUGUUACAAGAACUUAAGCAUAAAGAAAUUCAUAUCCUUUAGGAAUGGUUGACCCUGUCAGUGCGGGGUGAUGUGAUUGACAGAUGCUGGCAUGAUUGUGUCCAGAUUUAUUGGAUUCAUCUCUCUUCAUCCUGGGUCUGGAGUUCUGAUUUUUGUGAAUGCUUGGUUUUAGUGGAUGAUACUGUGUUAUUUCCUCUUCUGCUUCUGAUCUCUGUCCCAGCUUUCCAUGUUUAUAUUGCAAUCAAGGUUUGAUUCUGGAAGAAAGAGUAUUCGAAGAGAACUGUGAAGCAGCACUCCCUCUCUUUUAAAACAAGGAACAAGUAAUAACAAAUUUUUAGAGAGAAAGUGAAGGGCGAGCCUUGGUUUUACCUAACUCAUCCCGAAAACAAAUAUGCUCUGUCCAUUGUUCUUAGAAUGUUGUUAGCUAUUAAGUGUGAAUAAAUGCUGUUCUGAUGCUAUUUAGUUGUAUUUUUUCGAGCUUCCUUUCUCAUUUCUGGUUUUCUUUUCUGUGCUUAUGUGUAUCUUAUUUUUGAAGAUUGUAUACUGUCUCCAAUCCAGGGGACUUAUUGAAGACAAAAUAAAGCUAUCCAAAUUUGAAUGGAAGUGUGGUGAGCAGUGUGUACCUAGGAUAUGUGUGUGCAUAUAUAAUAAUUGGUUGUGGAUGGAUUUUUUUUGUCCUGCUUCUUUAAGAUGCAUAGAAAUUCAAGAAUCUACAGCAUUUUUUCCCUCUCAACUUGCUUUGUUAUCUGAUCCAAGAGUAAUGCAACUUGCCCUGCAUCUUCUUCUAGGCAAUCUGGGGAGGGAGGAGGAUAUCUGAUGCAUUGGAUAUGAUGUUAAGCAUAUUUGACUUCUACUUAGUUUUAUAAGGUUGCUCUUGUAAGCUCUGUCUUUCUAACUAUUCUGAGUCUGCAGAUUAAUGUCAUGUUUUGGUGUGUGGGGCAUAAGUAGGGGACAUGUUUAUGGAGACACUUCAUCAAUUUUUUUAUUCUCAAGAAAUGAAGUUCACUAUCCCUCAAUUACCCAAAACUAGUGUAAUUGGACCAGUUCUGCUGUUCUCUAGUUACUUUGCUGAUGGUCUCUGAUAGUAGCUUUUGUUCAGGAAGAUGCAUUUUAUUUGUUUUUCGAGACCAAGAACUCCAUCACAUUGCAAGGAGACAUUGGUGUUGCUAUGAGCAAGGAUAAGGGUGCGACAUGGCAGCACCUGGGUAUUGCAUUGGAUGAGGAAUGGCAUCUUUCUUAUCCAUAUGUUUUCAGCUACCAGGAUCGAGUAAGAUCAAAUUUCUUCUUUAUUGAAUGUGAAAUUGUCAUUGCUUGGAUUCUUGAUUGUCGAAACCAACAAACUCCUUAAGCUUUCAUUUUUUGAUAACUUGGUUUUUCUUCUUUUCCAUCUUUUGAAUUCUCAGAUCUACAUGAUGCCUGAAGGCAGUAAGAAAGGGGAGCUCCGGCUGUAUCGAGCAUUGGAUUUUCCCUUGAAGUGGAAAUUGGAAAAGGUCAUCCUGAAGAAGCCCCUUAUAGAUUCAUUCAUUAUAAAGUAUGAUGGUUACCACUGGCUGUUUGGGUCAGAUUUUAGUGCUUUCGGUGCCAAAAAGAAUGGAGAGCUUGAAAUCUGGUACAGCAACUCUCCUCUUGGUCCUUGGAAACCCCACAAGCAGAACCCGGUUCAUAACACUGAUAAGAGCUUGGGUGCUAGAAAUGCAGGCAGGCCAUUCUUUUACAAGGGCAAGCUCUAUCGCACGGGGCAAGAUUGUGGUGGCACAUACGGGCGGCGGGUACGUGUGUUUAGGGUUGAGGUUCUCACCAUGGACGAAUUUGAGGAAGUUGAAGUCCCAUUUGGCAUUGAUGAGCCCCGAAAAGGCCGUAACACUUGGAAUGGGGCUCGUUAUCAUCACCUAGAUGUGCAAGAGCUUCAAUCAGAUGAAUGGGUUGGAGUGAUGGAUGGUGAUCGAGUUCCUUCGGGUGAUUCUGUUGGCCGGCUUAUUAAGGGCUACACAGCAUUUGGGGCAGCUAUCACUCUAGUAAUACUGUCGGGAAUGUUGUUAGGUGUAAUCAAGUGUAUUUUGCCCCUUAGUCGGUGCCUUCCCAUCUCAGGAAAGCGAAGUGAUGCCUUCCAGGCGGGAGAGAAGCAUCGUCAUCUAUAUUCUAAGUUUAGAUGGCUGUUUGCUCAUGUGAACAAGCUAGGUUCUCCAAUCCAAGGAAGAAUCAAGCCUACCACCUGUACAGGCCGGUCAGUUCUAGCUGUUAUAUUUUUGUUCAUAGUUGCAUUAACCUGUAUUGGCACCCAUUACGUAUAUGGGGGCAAUGGUGCAGAGGAGGCUUAUCCGAUGAACGGACACUUCUCUGAGUUCACACUGCUCACCAUGACAUAUGAUGCCCGCCUGUGGAAUUUGAGGAUGUUUGUGAAGCAUUACUCAAGAUGCUCUUCAGUAAGGGAGAUUGUGGUAGUGUGGAACAAAGGCCAGCCUCCAAAUUUGAGUGACUUGGAUUCCACCGUGCCGGUUAGGAUCAGAGAGGAGGAGAGGAACUCUUUGAACAACAGGUUUAAUGCAGACCCACUGAUAAAGACACGGGCAGUGCUUGAACUUGAUGAUGAUAUCAUGAUGACAUGUGAUGAUGUGGAGCGUGGAUUCAAGGUCUGGCGUGAUCACCCUGAUAGAAUUGUGGGAUUCUACCCACGACUCGCGGAAGGAAGCCCGCUUAAGUAUCGGGAUGAGAAGUAUGCUCGGGGACGAGGAGGGUAUAACAUGAUAUUAACAGGAGCUGCAUUCAUAGAUCAUAAUUUGGCUUUUAAAAGAUACUGGAGCAAGGAGGCAGAGGAGGGAAGGAAGCUGGUUGAUAAGAAAUUUAACUGCGAGGAUGUGCUUCUGAAUUUCUUGUAUGUGAAUGCAAGUGAGUCAAAGAAGACGGUAGAGUAUGUGAAGCCUGCCUGGGCUAUAGACACAUCAAAAUUCUCUGGUGCAGCUAUCAGUCGGAACACACAGGCACAUUAUCAAGCAAGAAGUGAGUGCCUCGUUAAGUUUUCGGAGUUAUAUGGGAAUUUGGCUGCCAAUAGAUGGGGUUUCGAUAGCCGGAAAGAUGGUUGGGAUGUAUAGUAGCAUGGGCUUUUGGCAUGGUUCUGUCUACAAUUUUGCCCAUUCCAUCUCGUGACUCUAGUUGCCAUCUGUAACUGUAUUUUAUUUUGUGUUAUUUUGCACUUUGGGGAAUAUAGACAGCUGGGGCUAUCUAACAUGUAAGAUUAUUUUCAGAGGUAAUACAUUUUCAGUUUUCCCCAAUAUUGUCAUUUUAUCAAUAUACUCUUGUCCAGACCUUCAAUUACCAAUUUUCCUUGUUCCAUUUUCAGUUACCAACAGAAUGCCAAAUUGACUUCAAUAUCCAAUGUUUUGUGAAAACGCUAUGCAAGUAAGCAAAUUUGCAUCUAUAAUAAGCAUCCACCAAAGUGAUGAGAAUCAAUCAAGACUGCCUUAUGAUGGCCUCUGAUUUAUCCAAAAGUAUGUUGGUGUUUCUGCACAUAUUAGAAGCUUAUUUAUUUCAACAUCCUGUUAACUUUUUGUCAUCUAAUUAUCUUCCACCAGUAAUGAAGAAAGAAGAUUACAUAGAUGAUUGAAAACCUUAAUACAAGUGUUUUACAAUGAAUGGAUGUUGUUGGAGAAGGCAUGCUGUGGUGUAAAGGCCAAAUUAUGGCAGUCUAAAUUGAAGACAUGUCGGCAAUGGUGGUAGACAAAAUGAAGCCCUUCAUCUGUAAGGUCAUUUGGAAACUGAUGGAAUGAAAAUAACGGAACCAUGCUCCUCUGGUCAAAAUUUACAGCUGUUCUUCAGAAAAAUGACAAUCUCUUGCUGCAAACAUCAGAAGAUGGAAUGCUUUAGUUAGCCAAUUUUUAUAUUGAGAAAUUCAAGUGCAGAAUUGCUACUUACUAUUAGGCAUAGAAGCACGCAACCAGUCGCCCCAGGAAACAAGGCAUACCAAAGAUGCAACUGAUGGAACUUCGCACCGUCAAUGAACAAGAUCGGUAAGCUUGCAGCUACAAUUCCCCGAACACAGAAUGGUAAAAUCACAAUCAGUUAUGCGGUGAAGAAGUGCUAACAACAUAAAGCAAGCAAAAAAUGUUAGGCCAAAUGCUACCAAUUGGUUUAAGACUCAAACAUUUACAUAUCAGUUUUUGUGGCAUGCAAAACUUAGGCAGUUAAUUAACUCCAUGGCGAUCCAUGCUCUAAGUUUAUUUUAACAGUUUGGACAGGAUCAAGCUAAUUCUACUGGAUGGAUGCAUUCACAUCUAAGCCAUUAUGUCUUUCUUUAUUGCAAAGAAAAUAAAACAUCGACUGUCCAGUGGUUUCAAAUAUUAAAUUAGGUGGAUCCUUAGAAUAUGCAAUGAAUUUUGCUAUGAAUUUUGCAUUUCAUCAUUAAUUUUUGGAGCAAAAAGCAUUCAAAUUGGUUACUUAAUUAAGCAUUUAUGAUUAUGAAAGCAGCUAGUAAGAUCCAGAAGAGGACUUGACCUGUUUUACUCACUUUUGUUGUCACUAGUUUCUCCUUGGACCAGUUGAUGUAUGUAUUAGUUUCAUAUACCCUACUGAGCUACAAGAAUGCCAAGAUUCAAAUAAGGAAUUGGUUAGACUUAGUAAAGAAGUCUGGAUUUUUAAUCUUUCAAUUUUGGAUGCACUUGAACUGCUAAGAUAUGAUCUUUAGCCCUGGUAAAAUUUAGGGCCUGGUCCCCAAGUACACAAAUAUUACCAUAUAAAUAUGAUGAAUACCAUUUGUACUCUUAUUCAUUGUUCUCCACUCAACACACAAUGUAUAAUUUUGAUUUUUGCUUUCUAGUCUCCAUGAAGGGAAUAUUCUUCUAACUUCAUGCAUGAGAUGCAAUAUGCCCUCUCAAUUCUUGAAACACUAUAAGAUGUCAAGAAUGUUUAAAAUUCUGAGACCAUGAACGAGUAGAAUCUUUUUAGUAAAGGAAGCUGUACUACUGCAUGUCACAAGUACUGUAGACUAAAAUAAUGUAUUCCAGCAACUUGUUCAUGGCUCUUCACGAGCCAUUGGGACUGUUAGUAUAAUAUUUAGUACAACACCAUAUUGUGGGGCAACCCACAUAUCUUAUCCUAUUGUUGUAUCACAAACAGUUUGCCUGAAACUUCUUUGGGAAUCUGAAUACGAUAGUAGCAGCUAAAUGCUAUUUGUAAAACAAUUAUUUCUUUCUUGCCGCACUAAAAUUACCCUUGGUUGCUACCUGCUGAGCAGAGGGGUGUAGGGUUGUGACCGCUAGAGCAAGCCCCACUUCAUGUAAAACAAAUUAUUUCUUGAAAAAGGGUGGGUCAAGUGAAUAAAUAGUUAUGGUUCGAAAACUAUUUAAAUAAUGAUUUGUUCCAUCAAGAGGUAAAGAUUUUUAGUUCCUUUAGUUCAUUGAGAAUAAGAUUAACCAAGUUUUGCAUGUCAUUCCACAUAUGUGUCAUAUUUCAUUAACAUCUGUUUCUAUGUACCAAUAAACUAGAGGAUGAUUAAAAAGAAUGAUGAUGAGAUAACCAAAGAAGCUUGUUUUUCAUAUAUGUGUCAUCCAUCCCUUAAAACUAAUUUCAGAUCAUAAGAACUUAUCAAGUCUGAAGUGCAUUAUACCAUUUUCUUUUUUCUGUAAGUAUUUACCUCGAUGACUGUGUCAUAUUAGAUAUUUUACUAAGCAUAAACUGUUUUGCACAUAUAAAAGAAAUGCCAGGGUCUUAUUAAGCAUGUAUUAUCUUGAUAUAUAAAAAAAAAUGAUCAGAAGCCACAGACUGUCAAAGCAUCCUUUCUUGCAAACAGUUGUUAACAACGUUGAUGAACCCAAAGAUACAAACAUUAGUUCAAGAUCCAUAAUGGCUUGUCCAGAAACAUAUCAGGCUCAUUUAUUCUAUUUAACCCAAAUCCAGAAAUCUGACUCAUCCUGAUUAAGUUCAGAGAUCAAUCAGGUCUAAAUUACUGCAAAAGUAAAGUUAUUUGGUUUGAUAUGAUUUCACCCCAUUUCUCUUGAAAUUGACUUGAUCACUGAAUAGGACCCAUUAAGCUUAAUUUGGACAUGCCUUCAAUUCAUAGGUCAAGACAGGGUGAAGUUUUAUCUGUGUGGGUUGAAACAACCCAUCAAUAACCUCAAGCCAUACUUGCGGGCAUAAUCUUGAUGUAUUAUAAGUUUAUAACACAUAUUUACAAAUUGUGAGAAAAAUACCUGGAGUAUGGGUGGCACCUGUGAUGAUCAUGAAUGCUAUAGAUGCAGCAAGAGCAGUUCCUCUUGCCAACCAACCUGGCCCAAAUAUUGACAAUGCUAAUACCCCAAAUGCUGCACAACCAACCUGGGCAAUGAACAUAUUGUAUUUCUGCACCACCAUCCAACUUCAAGAUAUCAUUAUAUAAUAAAACAAUUAGUAGUUUAACAAUUCAUUUGGCUAAAAAUAGAUCCCUUCGCAUGCCUAGAUAUUAAUCUUCAUGUCUGGAAAGCAGUUCCAUCAGCUUCAGGUCAUACUUUAGCUAUUGUGAUCGAAGAUGUGCAAACAAAUUAUGGACAUGCCUUGCAUUACAUAUGCACAUGAACUUUAAUUCUGUGUAUCAGUAAUAUGUUAUUUCUGAUAAUGCUUACUUGUUAGCAUAAAGCGUCAUAAUGCCCGCUUGUUACCAAAGUGUACAACCAACAGCAUGGCAUGGAAUUUGAUGAGACUUUAAAUCUUGUUAACAUAUCUUCCACUCUUUGUAUUGUUCGUUCUAGUGAGUAAUCUGACGGCUAGAUAUGAUUUACAGUAAUCUUCAGUAAAAAUUCUUUGCAUUCAAACCCUUUUGCAGCCCCAAUGGGUUGGGUUGCACAAUGAUGGACCUUAUGGUAAGAAACUUGGAAGGAAGGAGAAAAGGAGUUCACCAAGUGAAUUACCUAAUGUUUGAUUAUUCAGUUGUUCUUCCUAGUAAGCAUGGCCUCUCCUGUAGUUUUAGGUGAAGUUACUCAAAAAGGCCCAAC